UGUCCUACGGGAGGCAGCAGCCGCGGUUAUACGUAGGUGGCAAGCGUUAUCCGGAUUUACUGGGUGUAAAGGGCGUGUAGGCGGGGACGCAAGUCAGAUGUGAAAACCACGGGCUCAACCUGUGGCCUGCAUUUGAAACUGUGUUUCUUGAGUACUGGAGAGGCAGACGGAAUUCCUAGUGUAGCGGUGAAAUGCGUAGAUAUUAGGAGGAACACCAGUGGCGAAGGCGGUCUGCUGGACAGCAACUGACGCUGAGGCGCGAAAGCGUGGGGAGCAAACAGGAUUAGAUACCCCUGUAGUCCAGA
rnacentral:rRNA from 1 species